AAGGCCCUUUCGGGGGUGCUCGAGUGGCGAACGGGUGAGUAACACGUGGGUGAUCUGCCCUGCACUUUGGGAUAAGCCUGGGAAACUGGGUCUAAUACCGGAUAGGACUACGCACUGCAUGGUGUGUGGUGGAAAGCUUUUGCGGUGUGGGAUGGGCCCGCGGCCUAUCAGCUUGUUGGUGGGGUGAUGGCCUACCAAGGCGACGACGGGUAGCCGGCCUGAGAGGGUGUCCGGCCACACUGGGACUGAGAUACGGCCCAGACUCCUACGGGAGGCAGCAGUGGGGAAUAUUGCACAAUGGGCGCAAGCCUGAUGCAGCGACGCCGCGUGAGGGAUGACGGCCUUCGGGUUGUAAACCUCUUUCACUAGGGACGAAGCGCAAGUGACGGUACCUAGAGAAGAAGCACCGGCCAACUACGUGCCAGCAGCCGCGGUAAUACGUAGGGUGCGAGCGUUGUCCGGAAUUACUGGGCGUAAAGAGCUCGUAGGUGGUUUGUCGCGUUGUUCGUGAAAACUCACAGCUUAACUGUGGGCGUGCGGGCGAUACGGGCAGACUGGAGUACUGCAGGGGAGACUGGAAUUCCUGGUGUAGCGGUGGAAUGCGCAGAUAUCAGGAGGAACACCGGUGGCGAAGGCGGGUCUCUGGGCAGUAACUGACGCUGAGGAGCGAAAGCGUGGGGAGCGAACAGGAUUAGAUACCCUGGUAGUCCACGCCGUAAACGGUGGGUACUAGGUGUGGGUUUCCUUCCUUGGGAUCCGUGCCGUAGCUAACGCAUUAAGUACCCCGCCUGGGGAGUACGGCCGCAAGGCUAAAACUCAAAGGAAUUGACGGGGGCCCGCACAAGCGGCGGAGCAUGUGGAUUAA
rnacentral:rRNA from 1 species